AGGGACAGCCCCCAGGGGGGAAAUGCUUCAGGCCGUGGGGAAAAAGCCAAAAUGCUCCUGUACAGAGGGAAUUGGCUGUGGGAUGAGCAAACAGGAGCAGAUGGAAAUGCAUUGCCUGUAAAUGGGAGAGACAGAGGUCUGCAGAGCCAGGAGCCUCACCCUGCGAGGAGCCCGGCUGGGUGUGAAAAAGGGUCUCAGUGCAAGCUGAGCCCCAUCAAUCUGUCAGCACUCGGAUGAGUGCUCGGUUGAAGCAGCACGUGGCAGUGGAGCUCUGCUUCUGCUCGGGCUGUGCCUGGGAGCCUGGCGGUAGCUGCUGGGACAGGGACGAGCUCUGCUCGGUGGCUGAAGGAUGCUUUGGGCUCAAAUCCCUGGGAUGGCUUUCUGUGCAGUGCUGGCUGCCCCCUCACGUUUGUGUGGCAUGCUGAAAUCCUGGGGCAAAGGUUUGAAGUCUCGGGGCUGCUGCAGUUUGAGCGUUAUCCUCCCAAAAAGCAUGAAAGGGUUUGGGAAGUGUAACCGAAACCGGGCAGAACAAUUUCUGUAGGAAAAAGGCUGGGCUCCAGCAACAGCUACUAGUGGGCAGCCGUCCUCUGAAAGGGAGGCCGAGUCCCUGCUUGGUGAACA